UACGAAGGGGGCUAGCGUUGUUCGGAAUCACUGGGCGUAAAGGGUGCGUAGGCGGCGCGGUAAGUCGGGUGUGAAAUUUCGAGGCUUAACUUCGAAACUGCAUUCGAUACUGCCGUGCUAGAGGACUGGAGAGGAGACUGGAAUUUACGGUGUAGCGGUGAAAUGCGUAGAUAUCGUAAGGAAGACCAGUGGCGAAGGCGGGUCUCUGGACAGUUCCUGACGCUGAGGCACGAAGGCCAGGGGAGCAAACGGG
rnacentral:rRNA from 1 species